rnacentral:rRNA from 1 species
UACGAAGGGUGCAAGCGUUACUCGGAAUUACUGGGCGUAAAGCGUGCGUAGGUGGUGGCUUAAGUCCGUUGUGAAAGCCCUGGGCUCAACCUGGGAAUUGCAGUGGAUACUGGGUCACUAGAGUGUGGUAGAGGGUGGCGGAAUUCCCGGUGUAGCAGUGAAAUGCGUAGAGAUCGGGAGGAACACCCGUGGCGAAGGCGGCCACCUGGGCCAACACUGACACUGAGGCACGAAAGCGUGGGGAGCAAACAGG